GACGAACGCUGGCGGCGUGCCUAAUACAUGCAAGUCGAACGAGAGCGACCGGUGCUUGCACUGGUCAAUCUAGUGGCGAACGGGUGAGUAACACGUGGGUAACCUGCUCAUCAGAGGGGGAUAACAUCCGGAAACGGAUGCUAAAACCGCAUAGGUCUUCGAGCCGCAUGGCUUGAAGAGGAAAAGAGGCGCAAGCUUCUGCUGAUGGAUGGACCCGCGGUGCAUUAGCGAGUUGGUGAGGUAACGGCUCACCAAGGCCGUGAUGCAUAGCCGACCUGAGAGGGUGAUCGGCCACAUUGGGACUGAGACACGGCCCAAACUCCUACGGGAGGCAGCAGUAGGGAAUCUUCCGCAAUGGACGCAAGUCUGACGGAGCAACGCCGCGUGAGUGAAGAAGGUUUUCGGAUCGUAAAACUCUGUUGUUAGAGAAGAACAAGUGCUAGAGUAACUGUUAGCGCCUUGACGGUAUCUAACCAGAAAGCCACGGCUAACUACGU
rnacentral:rRNA from 1 species